rnacentral:rRNA from 1 species
CACGUAGGGCGCAAGCGUUGUCCGGAAUUACUGGGCGUAAAGGGCGCGUAGGCGGCACUGUUAGUCAGGCGUGAAAUUCCUGGGCUCAACCUGGGGACUGCGCUUGAUACGGCAGAGCUUGAGGAUGGAAGAGGGUCGCGGAAUUCCCAGUGUAGAGGUGAAAUUCGUAGAUAUUGGGAAGAACACCGGUGGCGAAGGCGGCGACCUGGUCCAUUACUGACGCUGAGGCGCGACAGCGUGGGGAGCAAACAGG